UUAAUUAAAUGGCCGCAGUAUUUUAACUGUGCAAAGGUAGCAUAAUCAUUAGUCUUUUAAUUGAAGGCUUGUAUGAAUGGUUGGACAAAAUAUAUAUUGUUUCAUAUAAAUUUAUAGAACUUUAUUUUUUAGUCAAAAAGCUAAAAUUUAAUUAAAAGACGAGAAGACCCUAUAGAUCUUUAUAAUUAUUAAGUUUAAUUUAUAAAGAAUAUUUUAUUUUUAAUUUAUAUAAUUAUUUUAUUGGGGUGAUAGUAAGAUUUAUUUAACUCUUAUGUAAUUAAUUACAUAAAUUAAUGAUUAGUUGAUCCAGUAUUAUUGAUUAGUAAAAUAAGUUACCUUAGGGAUAACAGCGUAAUUUUUUUAGAGAGUUCAUAUCGAUAAAAAGGAUUGCGACCUCGAUGUUGGAUUAAGAGAUAAGUUUGGGCGCAGCCGUUCAAAUUUAAAGUCUGUUCGACUUUUUAAUUCUUACAUGAUCUGAGUUCAAACCGGA
rnacentral:rRNA from 1 species